UACGGGGGGAGCAAGCGUUGUUCGGAUUUACUGGGCGUAAAGGGCGCGUAGGCGGUCAGCACAAGUCAGUUGUGAAAUCUCCGGGCUUAACUCGGAAAGGUCAACUGAUACUGUGCGACUAGAGUGCGGAAGGGGCAACUGGAAUUCUCGGUGUAGCGGUGAAAUGCGUAGAUAUCAGGAGGAACACCGGUGGCGAAGGCGGGUCUCUGGGCCGGAACUGACGCUGAGGAGCGAAAGCGUGGGGAGCGAACAGG
rnacentral:rRNA from 1 species